ACCACCUGGACGACCGUGUUGUUCGGAACCUCGGUGUUCGGGACCUCGAACAUGGCCUGGUGGAAAUUCGGAUCGAACUUCUGGCCGGU
rnacentral:sRNA from 1 species